rnacentral:rRNA from 1 species
UACGGGGGGAGCAAGCGUUGUUCGGAUUUACUGGGCGUAAAGGGCGCGUAGGCGGUCGUGACAAGUCACUUGUGAAAUCUCCGGGCUUAACUCGGAACGGUCAAGUGAUACUGUCGUGCUAGAGUACAGAAGGGGCAACUGGAAUUCUCGGUGUAGCGGUGAAAUGCGUAGAUAUCGGGAAGAACAUCAGUGGCGAAGGCGGUCUGCUGGGCCGUUGCUGACGCUGAGGCGCGACAGCGUGGGGAGCAAACAGG